rnacentral:rRNA from 1 species
GACGAACGCUGGCGGCGUGCUUAACACAUGCAAGUCGAACGGAAAGGCCCUGCUUUUGUGGGGUGCUCGAGUGGCGAACUGGUGAGUAACACGUGAGUAACCUGCCCUGGACUUUGGGAUAACUUCAGGAAACUGGGGCUAAUACCGGAUAGGAGCUCCUGCUGCAUGGUGGGGGUUGGAAAGUUUCGGCGGUUGGGGAUGGACUCGCGGCUUAUCAGCUUGUUGGUGGGGUAGUGGCUUACCAAGGCUUUGACGGGUAGCCGGCCUGAGAGGGUGACCGGCCACAUUGGGACUGAGAUACGGCCCAGACUCCUACGGGAGGCAGCAGUGGGGAAUAUUGCACAAUGGGCGGAAGCCUGAUGCAGCAACGCCGCGUGCGGGAUGACGGCCUUCGGGUUGUAAACCGCUUUCGCCUGUGACGAAGCGUGAGUGACGGUAAUGGGUAAAGAAGCACCGGCUAACUACGUG